UAUCUCUCCUCUUAAUUUCUUCUAGAUCUCUCAUUGUCUCUCUCCCCAUCUCUUCUUCACGUUGUCAUUCAAACCCUAGCCUCCUCAUCUAGUCUACGUCUCUUCAUCUCCUCAUUUAAUUUCUCUUUUUUUGUUGUCAAGAAUCUUUCAGCGGAGGUCUCUUUUUAUUUUUCUCAUACAAAGAAGCAAUAGUAAGAGAAAAUCGAAUUCUGUGGAGAAAAGAUAGAUUUAUUGGCGGAAAUGUCAUGUCAAGAACAAGGAUAUGUGGAAGUUCCUUGAUGGUAUCUAUGUCAGCGAGAAGGGAACAAUAGUUGGAGCAGAUGAGUGAUCAAUACAAUUGUUUGUCUUAGCCUUGCCUUGCAUAGACACACACCAUUACGUAAUGUGCUAUUUUCUUUCCUACAUUUGUAUAUGAACUUUUGCAUUUUUAAUUUCUUUGUUAGUACAUUCAUGUUUUGUAUAUUAUGAUUGUGUUAUAUUUGUCAAAUUAUUUGUUCUAACUUUUGAGAAUACUUUGUGCGAAAUUUAAUUUGUAAUAUUAUUUUUUUAAGUUAA